AAACUAGUUGGCGCUGCUGUGCAGUAGCAAUGGCUGCUUACGAGCAAUUUGUGAAAUUUGUGUUAGCAAUUUUUCUUAAUUUGUAUAUAUUCCAACUGAUUGUUCUUCUAAAAUUUAACGCUAUCCAAGCUGAGGAACCAUAGAGCUCGAAUGAUUUCUAAACAAAGAUCGUGAUAGUGUGAUAGUGAAACUAAAAGUCCAAAAGGAUCCAGACGCUGAAGAAAAGUCAACAGUGACCUCACAUUACUUCAAUUUGACAUGUUGACGCAUAUCAACCAUCAUCUGCUCAUGAAAGAAGUUUUCACAGCAUAACUACAUAGACAGCCACUACCUGUGAGUUGCAGUCACCAUUUGCCUUAGUUCAGUUAUCAUGCCUUCUCUUCCUGUCUUCUCAGCAAGUAAACCCUCAUAAAUUUAAAAGCCAGCACCUUGUCAUGAGAACAACCCAAUAUUCAUCUUCGUUUCUCCCGCAAAAUCGCCAUCCGAAACAAAGUUAAGUUGAUUUUACAUUAAGAAUUAAAUCUGUAUUCUAAUUUUGCUAUUCGCUAUUCAGAUUACGUCCAUUCAGAAGAAAGGGAGGGGGAACAUGCCAGAAGAAUUAUGGAUCAAAACUCGUGGCGGUGGCGUACGAUAUCAUCGUGGAACGCCGUGUUUGUUGUGCUCGUUAGGGACGGACCGCACUGUUCUGCCCCACGUCAUAGACCGAGCAUUGCUAUUUCUCGUGCCUUUGUACUAUUUUAUUCGGCCGCCAAUUGAUUCUCUGGAGUCUGUUCAUUGACUUUGUCUCCUUCGCUCUACGCUUUAAAAACUCUCGGUUUUUGGUAAUAAGUACAAAUCUUGAUGGCGUUAAUGCGAGUUAGUAUUUUGCAGUGUGGGAGGUGUGAAACCGUGUUGAGUUUCCAUCGUUUCACCAGUGUUUCAACAGAUGUAUUUAUUGACAACAGAAAAUAAAGGAAAAUGGUGGCAAGUUUCCUGUUUUCGUUGCUGCACAGUCAGAAAAGCGAUACCUUUCAAUAGUAAAUGUAAAAGUCCAGAAGUUACUCCAAAAAAUACACCGACCAGUAGUAAGUUUUAUA
rnacentral:lncRNA from 1 species